CCUACGGGUGUCAGCAGUGGGGAAUAUUGGGCAAUGGGCGCAAGCCUGACCCAGCAACGCCGCGUGAAGGAAGAAGGCCCUCGGGUUGUAAACUUCUUUUAUCAAGGACGAAACAAAUGACGGUACCUGAUGAAUAAGCCACGGCUAACUACGUGCCAGCAGCCGCGGUAAUACGUAGGGGGCAGGCGUUAUCCGGAUUUACUGGGUGUAAAGGGAGUGUAGGCGGGACUGCAAGUCAGAUGUGAAAACCAUGGGCUCAACCCGUGGACUGCAUUUGAAACUGUAGUUCUUGAGUGUUGGAGAGGCAAGCGGAAUUCCGGGUGUAGCGGUGAAAUGCGUAGAUAUACGGAGGAACACCAGUGGCGAAGGCGGCUUGCUGGACAGUAACUGACGCUGAGGCGCGAAAGCGUGGGGAGCAAACAGGAUUAGAUACCCGGGUAGUC
rnacentral:rRNA from 1 species